rnacentral:rRNA from 1 species
CCAGACUCCUACGGGAGGCAGCAGUGAGGAAUAUUGGUCAAUGGGCGAGAGCCUGAACCAGCCAAGUCGCGUGAGGGAGUACUGCCCUAUGGGUUGUAAACCUCUUUUGUCGGGGAGCAAAAGCCGGACGUGUCCGGCUGUGAGAGUACCCGUAGAACAAGCAUCGGCUAACUCCGUGCCAGCAGCCGCGGUAAUACGGAGGAUGCGAGCGUUAUCCGGAUUUACUGGGUGUAAAGGGCGCGUAGGCGGGAUGGCAAGUCAGAUGUGAAAUCCAAGGGCUCAACCCUUGAACUGCAUUUGAAACUGUCGUUCUUGAGUACUGGAGAGGUUGACGGAAUUCCUAGUGUAGCGGUGAAAUGCGUAGAUAUUAGGAGGAACACCAGUGGCGAAGGCGGCCUGCUGGACCGCGACUGACGUUGAGGCUCGAAAGCGUGGGGAGCGAACAGGAUUAGAUACCCCAGUAG